GACAGGUGUAGCAAUGGUAAGAUGUUGGGACUGCUGUUGGGACAGCUUUAUGUAGGCCCUAACAGACACCGUUUGUCACCGUUAUAGUGCAAUUAAUGUAUCGUUUAGUGUUGUGGCUUUGCUCGCAUGCAUCUCACUUUGUAUUUUUAUUUUAUUUUUGCAAUACAAAGAUUUACAUGCUAAAAUCGCCACUGGAAGUCUUUGUGGAUAUUUUUAGGCACUCAAAAGUUGACAGUCCCCCCCAAAAUUGACAAGUUCGUGUGGAAUGCUUCAUGUUGCCAUGGAAAACUAGCCUGCUGGCAGAGAACGCGAUACUUUGUGGUAAUCUAAUCACGUUGUCUGUCUCUACUGUCAUUGGUCUCUACUCACAAACAUGGCGGACUACCGCGAAGCGCCCUUGGCCACUCGGCCAAAAACGUUGGACCCAGCUGAAUAUUUCAACCUUUCGCUGGACCAGAGACGUGCCGAAGAGGAGAGGGCUGGUUUAAGGGCCCAGCUGAAGAGACAAUAUCAGAUGCAGCUCAACAACCCGCACAGAAAAGAGCUUAUUGAAGACCCUGCCUUGACACGCUGGGUGUACGCACGCACCAACCCCUACAACCACUUCAGAGCCACCAAGAAGACGUCACUGCUAGGUGGACUCUUUGGAGUGGUUCCCCUCUUCGUCCUGUACUACGUACUGAAGAUGGACAGGGUAUGGAUGAGAUGACACCAACCCUUAUCCUACUUGUUCCCUGACAUUAGGGGUCUGUUCCAAAUCCACCCUAGCCUCUAUACCAGUGGUCAACAACCUUUUCUGAGUCAAGAUCACUUUGAGUCAAAAUACAAAAUGAGAUCUACCACUCAGGGUUUUUUUUAAAAAACAUGACUUAAACAAUUCAAUAUUAGGACAAGAAGGAGGAGCAGAUCAAAGCUGGGACCUACGACCGCAAGUUCAAGCUUGCCUAUUGAGUUUGCUCAUUGCAGACUUCCAUUGUAAAGUAUUGUAGAGUUAAUGUCAGUGUGUAUCUAUUAUUGUUAACUUAAUAAAACGUCCUUUAUUGUUGAAAAGCAAAUAAAGUGUCUGCCUGUCACUACAAACAUACAAGGGCUGUGAAUGACAUGAGCAGCAGAGUGGUGAAAACUUGCUAACAAGUCUUCCAGGGUAUUUUUAUUCAUUCACUUUUGUCUAGUACCUUUUUUUUUUAAUCAAUGAACCGGUUAAUCUUAAAAAAACAA